UUUUAACUCAGUGGUAGAGUAACGCCAUGGUAAGGCGUAAGUCAUCGGUUCAAAUCCGAUAGAGGGCU
rnacentral:tRNA from 2 species